CCAGGCAACGGCAGCAACAAGCAAGGGAACUCUCUGAGAAGAAAGUAUCUUUUUCUUCUUUUCCCAUUUAUACUCUGCUGUUAUUUCAGGGACCUCAAGGUGGCAUGCACUGUUCUCACCCUUCCCUGUUGUAUUCGCACGACAACCCUGAGAGGAGGAAAUAUGGAUGUGAGAGAGGAUAGAACUGUUUGAUCAACUAGUUUCAUGAACUGUUAAACUGGGCAAAAACCAGCUGGUUGCCUGUGUUGAGGAGCAGACACUGAGGAUGUGGCAAAACAAAGGAAAGAACUAAAAUAUGUGAAGCUUUAUUUUGGCACACGAUUCCCGCUGCUGUUCUUACUUUUUCCCCCUAAAAAAAGAAAAUGGCUAGAGUAACACUAGAUAGUAUUGUGAAUUGUAACUGCAGAGGCAACUCCCAAUGGCUAUAAAACCCUUCUGUCUCAACACAUAAUAGUUGCAUGCAUGCACUGUAAACAUGAGCUUAGAUCACCUAGCGUGGCUAGAACUUGUUACAAAAAUAGUAAAUCUUUCUAUGCACAAAGAUCUAUAUGCAAAAAACCCCACACAAAAUAUAAAAAUAUUUUAUGGAAGAAUAUAUGGGGAAAAGCUAUUUUGACCUUUUAAAACCAUUUGGUUUUGAACCCAUUUCAUUAGCAUUUGAUCAUUUUUCUUCCUCUUUUAACUACUUAAUUUAUGUUUCCUGUUUCAUAGAAUGCACAGUAACAACAAUGACAGAAUCUAUGACUUUUAACAUUAGAAGAUAGAACCUAUGAAAAUAGAGGGGAGGGUGAAAGUGUGUGUAGAAACUAGCCUUCUGUACAAAGAUAAUUUUUACAUUAUUCUGCUGACCCUUUUGUUUCUGGCUCCAGCCCCCAAUGGCAUGUGGCCCUCAGAAGGUUGUGUAGAAGGAAAUGUGGCCCUUAUAAACUUGUAUAGAAAGAUAUGUGGCCCUUGGGUUGUUAUAAGGCAGCAUAACUGGCAUCCUUCCUUCCACAUUAAAAGGAAUACUAAGACAUUUUAUAUGAAUGUUAUACCUUUUAAAAAAAGUAAAACAAAUGAUAGAAGGACUGCUUUCACUCUCCAUGAGGGUUUUCUUAUAUGCUAAUAUCAAAAUAGAUUUGUUCUGGCUUUAAUGUUUUACUUGGUAUUAAGUUAGGUACCCUUCAAUGGUGUGAGUUCCAACUUUUAGCUAGACUGCCCCUUUCCCGAAUAGGCUGCUUUUCUGCCUUAAAUAAUAUUGAGAUGGGUACUAACAGCCCUGGACCGCCUUGUUCUGACUCUGAUAUAAGCGGACCUGCAGUGCAAAAAUUGUUAUUUUCAGCAACAAUCUGAGACAAAGCACGGGCAGAUCUACCAUUUUAUCCAUGAGCAUUUUCGCAAUGCCUCUCAAAUAUUGUAUAUGG